AUGAAGCCUCUCGCCGCUCUGCUCGUCUCCAGCCUCCACAUCCAUUGCCUUUGCCUACUACUCCGGGGAGCACAUGCCACGGCGCCGGCGCCGGGAGCCCACCACAAGUACAACGCGACGGUGUACAACGCCUCGGCAGCGCGGUGCGCGGACUGCGACGGCGGGGGAGACGGCGCCGCGGCCGGCGCGGCGCUCGGCGGCCUCGGCGCGUGGGCGGAGGCGGCGGAGUUCCUCUACUACCACAACGCGGUGCGGAUGGCGCGGUGGGAGCUGCCGCUGGCGUGGUCGCCGCGGCUGGAGUCGUACGCGCGGUCGUGGGCGUCGCAGCGCCGAGCGGACUGCGCGCUGCGGCACUCGUUCCCGGAGGGCCAGUUCGCGCUGGGCGAGAACAUCUUCUGGGGCGGCGCCGGCGCGGCGUGGCGGCCCGGGGACGCCGUCAAGGACUGGGCGGCGGAGGGCGUGGACUACUCGUACGCCGCCAACGCGUGCGCGCCCGGCCGGGAGUGCGGCCACUACACGCAGAUCGUGUGGCGCCGCACCGCCUACGUCGGCUGCGCGCGCGUCGUCUGCGACGACGGCGGCGUCUUCAUCACCUGCAACUACUACCCGCCGGGGAACGUCGUCGGGGAGCGGCCCUACUGA
rnacentral:rRNA from 1 species